AGGACGAACGCUGACGGCGUGCUUAACACAUGCAAGUCGAACGGUGAUAUCAGGGCUUGCUCUGGUUGAUCAGUGGCGAACGGGUGAGUAACACGUGAGUAACCUGCCCCGACUCUGGGAUAACUUCGGGAAAUCGGAGCUAAUACCGGAUACGAGACGCAUCCGCAUGGGUAGCGUCUGGAAAGAUUUAUUGGUCUGGGAUGGACUCGCGGCCUAUCAGCUUGUUGGUGAGGUAAUGGCUCACCAAGGCGACGACGGGUA
rnacentral:rRNA from 1 species